UACAGAGACUGCAAGCGUUAUUCGGAUUCACUGGGCGUAAAGGGUGCGCAGGCGGUUCGUUGUGUCCGUCGUGAAAGCCCCGGGCUUAACCUGGGAACUGCGAUGGAAACUAGCGAGCUGGAGUGUGGCAGAGGGGGGUGGAAUUCCGCGUGUAGCAGUGAAAUGCGUAGAGAUGCGGAGGAACACCGAUGGCGAAGGCAGCCCCCUGGGCUAACACUGACGCUCAGGCACGAAAGCGUGGGGAGCAAACAGG
rnacentral:rRNA from 1 species